AGCGAACGCUGGCGGCAGGCCUAACACAUGCAAGUCGAACGAACCUUUCGGGGUUAGCGGCGGACGGGUGAGUAACACGUGGAUAACCUACCUAUAAGACUGGGAUAACUUCGGGAAACCGGAGCUAAUACCGGAUAACAUGUUGAACCGCAUGGUUCAACAGUGAAAGACGGUCUUGCUGUCACUUAUAGAUGGAUCCGCGCCGCAUUAGCUAGUUGGUAAGGUAGCGGCUUACCAAGGCAACGAUGCGUAGCCGACCUGAGAGGGUGAUCGGCCACACUGGAACUGAGACACGGUCCAGACUCCUACGGGAGGCAGCAGUAGGGAAUCUUCCGCAAUGGGCGAAAGCCUGACGGAGCAACGCCGCGUGAGUGAAGAAGGUCUUCGGAUCGUAAAACUCUGUUAUUAGGGAAGAACAAAUGUGUAAGUAACUAUGCACGUCUUGACGGUACCUAAUCAGAAAGCCACGGCUAACUACGUG
rnacentral:rRNA from 1 species